UACGAAGGGGGCUAGCGUUGCUCGGAAUCACUGGGCGGAAAGGGGGCGUAGGCGGGUCUUUAAGUCAGGGGGGAAAUCCUGGAGCUCAACUCCAGAACUGCCUUUGAUACUGAAGAUCUUGAGUUCGGGAGAGGUGAGUGGAACUGCGAGUGUAGAGGUGAAAUUCGUAGAUAUUCGCAAGAACACCAGUGGCGAAGGCGGCUCACUGGCCCGAUACUGACGCUGAGGCACGAAAGCGUGGGGAGCAAACAGG
rnacentral:rRNA from 1 species